rnacentral:rRNA from 1 species
GUGAGGAAUAUUGGUCAAUGGGCGAAAGCCUGAACCAGCCAUGUCGCGUGAAGGAUGAAGGUCCUAUGGAUUGUAAACUUCUUUUGCAGGAGGGUAAAGUGAGCUACGUGUAGUUCAUUGCAAGUACCCUGCGAAUAAGCAUCGGCUAACUCCGUGCCAGCAGCCGCGGUAAUACGGAGGAUGCGAGCGUUAUCCGGAUUUAUUGGGUUUAAAGGGUGCGUAGGCGGACUAAUUAGUCAGCGGUGAAAUUUUGUGGCUCAACCGUAAAACUGCCGUUGAAACUGUUAGUCUUGAGUGCGGUAGAGGUAGGCGGAAUGUGUGGUGUAGCGGUGAAAUGCUUAGAUAUCACACAGAACACCGAUUGCGUAGGCAGCUUACUGGAGCGCAACUGACGCUGAGGCACGAAAGCGUGGGGAUCGAACAGGAUUAGAAACCCGGGUAGUCC